rnacentral:rRNA from 1 species
AUACGUAGGUGGCGAGCGUUGUCCGGAAUUACUGGGCGUAAAGGGUGCGUAGGCGGGCGCCUAAGUCAGCGGUGAAAUGCAGCGGCUCAACCGUUGAACUGCCGUUGAAACUGGGCGCCUUGGAUGCGGUCGAGGCCGGCGGAAUGCGUGGUGUAGCGGUGAAAUGCUUAGAUAUCACGCAGAACGCCAAUUGCGAAGGCAGCUGGCCGGGCCGCAAUCGACGCUGAGGCACGAAAGCGUGGGGAUC